UCUGCUCUGCUCAUCUCCUUCCUCAUCACUAAUUUGAACACUUUCCACAAAAAGACUGAAAAACCAAAAAGAGAGAAACACCCAUGGCUUCAUUUCUUCUGUACUCUAUACUCUCUGCAGUUUUUCUGUAUUUCAUUUUCGCUACCCUGAGGAAGCGCCACCGUCUGCCUCUCCCUCCGGGCCCAAAACCAUGGCCGAUCAUUGGAAACUUGCCUCAUAUGGGCCCAGUGCCUCACCACAGCUUAGCAGCCUUGGCCAAAGUUUAUGGGCCCCUCAUGCACCUGAGGUUAGGAUUCGUGGACGUGGUGGUGGCGGCGUCGGCAUCCGUGGCGGCCCAAUUCUUGAAGGUGCAUGACGCCAAUUUCUCUAGCCGGCCGCCCAAUUCUGGUGCCAAGUAUGUUGCUUAUAACUACCAGGACCUGGUGUUUGC
rnacentral:lncRNA from 1 species